rnacentral:lncRNA from 1 species
AAGUUUACAAAAGCUAUGGAGGAGGAUGUGGAUGCACCCCCAUGUGUACGUAAGGACACACGAGCUAAAGGCUUUACCUGACCCAGUAAAAGUGUCAAGCGCUCCAUCUCCAGUCGUGGCUGUGGUUUCACUGCUGUUCAAGGGCUCUGUUUUGACUGCAAGAAGAGACACUACGUAGAAGAAUAAGUACAUGACAGCAAACCAAAAUCAUUACAUGCAAUAAAAUGGAAGCAAAAUCCUUUUAUAGAAGACAAGCACCGUAUUUCUCAACCAAAUGCAAGCUUACACACCAAAUGUUUUGAUUUCAAAAGAAACAAUAUUUUAAUGUCCUAGGUUGAAGAGUUUUGUGGGAUUAUUAUUCUGUAUCUUCAAAGUAAGUGAGUCAGAGCUCGUUUUGCUAAAAGUGGCAUAAAAUUACUUUCUAUACCACUUUGUCGAGAACCGUUAAGAAAUCCUUGUACUGUCAGGUCCCCCUCCCCACUAGUUAGCUACUUGCAAUUUGGAUGUUUCUGAUAGAGUCAAAUGGUAAAAAUAAAUAAACAUACAUGAUUGGCUUUUCCAUUUUUUUAGCUUUAAAAAUAAUUCUUAUCUAUAGACUAAAUCAAGGUCAUACAUAAUUAUUGUCAGGUACCAGUAAUGGCUACUAAAUCACAGAUUUCCUGUCUUCACAUCCC